rnacentral:rRNA from 1 species
GGCCAGACUCCUACGGGAGGCAGCAGUGAGGAAUAUUGGUCAAUGGUCGGGAGACUGAACCAGCCAAGCCGCGUGAGGGAUGAAGGUACAGAGUAUCGUAAACCUCUUUUGUCAGGGAGCAAGGUGCAGGUCGGGACCUGCUGUGAGAGUACCUGAAGAAAAAGCAUCGGCUAACUCCGUGCCAGCAGCCGCGGUAAUACGGAGGAUGCGAGCGUUAUCCGGAUUUAUUGGGUUUAAAGGGUGCGCAGGCGGAAGAUCAAGUCAGCGUUAAAUUUGAGAGGCUCAACCUCUUCGAGCCGUUGAAACUGGUUUUCUUGAGUGAGCGAGAAGUAUGCGGAAUGCGUGGUGUAGCGGUGAAAUGCGUAGAUAUCACGCAGAACUCCGAUUGCGAAGGCAGCAUACCGGCGCUCAACUGACGCUCAUGCACGAAAGUGUGGGUAUCGAACAGGAUUAGAUACCCGAGUAACC